CACUAUCUGAUGAAGAAAUACAAGGAAUCGAGGCAAGAGUCAAAAAUUGGGCAAUGAAGGGUAUUCUAGAUAUGCUUGCAACAUUGCAUACAAUGCUUUGGCCAGGGGCUAAAUGGAAAAGAGUCACUGAAUCUGAGUUAAAAAUGGAACAUCAUGUCAAAAAGCGAUAAGAAAUGCAAUGUUAAUUCUUCAUCCUGACAAAGUGCCAACUGAUGCCACUGCACAAGUGAAAUACCUUGCUAGCAGAAUGUUUUCAACAUUAAAGAUGGAGAGGGACAUAUACUUAUUAUUGAGUUUUCUUUGGGGUGGAUCAGUUAGGAAACCUGCUAUUUUG